GCAUCAAGGAGUGGAAGGUUGAUUUUUACUUGUUUGAAAACCUCUAUCAUUUCCUCUAGUGAAGUUCCUUAUUUGCCAAAGGGAGAGGGUGAAUUAAGAGCUUCAGAAAAUGGGGCCUUUGGGAUAUGAGUUUGGGCAGAAGGUGGACUAGCUGAAGAAGAAGAAGAAGGUUUUAGAUUUUCAUUUGACAUAUUUUUAUCCUCUUCUUCACCUUCCUUAUUGUUGUCCUCCCUAAUCUUAUUGUCUACUACACGUCCACUCCUUAGGGUAGUCAAAGCAUUGGCUUGCUCAUGAUUUAGUCGAGUUUCUUGAGCCACGUAUUGUCCCCUAGGAUUACUCAUUGGUUGACUUGGAAGCUUACCUUCCUCUCGCUUGUUUAAUGCAUUGGCUAGUUGACCCAUUUGGGAUUCUAGCUUAGCAAUUGAUUGCGUGUCAGAGUGCAAUAGUUGUGUGUUUGCCUCCAAACCUUGAAGGGCAGUCAACACUUUCUCCUCAAAGACUGUAUUUCUUUGGGUUGGAGGAGGAGGGUGUUGAAAU
rnacentral:lncRNA from 1 species